rnacentral:rRNA from 1 species
UUGAACGCUGGCGGUAUGCUUUACACAUGCAAGUCGAACGGCAGCACGGGGCAACCUGGUGGCGAGUGGCGAACGGGUGAGUAAUAUAUCGGAACAUGUCCGGAAGUGGGGGAUAACGUAGCGAAAGUUACGCUAAUACCGCAUAUGCCCUGAGGGGGAAAGGGGGGGAUCGCAAGACCUCUCGCUUUCGGAGUGGCCGAUAUCGGAUUAGCUAGUAGGUGCGGUAAAGGCUCACCUAGGCGACGAUCCGUAGCUGGUCUGAGAAGACGACCAGCCACACUGGAACUGAGACACGGUCCAGACUCCUACGGGAGGCAGCAGUGGGGAAUUUUGGACAAUGGGCGCAAGCCUGAUCCAGCCAUACCGCGUGAGUGAAGAAGGCCUUCGGGUUGUAAAGCUCUUUCAGCCGGAAAGAAAUCGCACUGGUUAAUACCUUGUGUGGAUGACGGUACCGGAAGAAGAAGCACCGGCUAACUACGU